AUAGGGGAGCCGGAGGGAAACCGAGUCUUAACCGGGCGUUAAGUUGCAGGGUAUAGACCCGAAACCCGGUGAUCUAGCCAUGGGCAGGUUGAAGGUUGGGUAACACUAACUGGAGGACCGAACCGACUAAUGUUGAAAAAUUAGCGGAUGACCUGUGGCUGGGGGUGAAAGGCCAAUCAAACCGGGAGAUAGCUGGUUCUCCCCGAAAGCUAUUUAGGUAGCGCCUCGUGAACUCAUCUCCGGGGGUAGAGCACUGUUUCGGCUAGGGGGCCAUCCCGGCUUACCAACCCGAUGCAAACUGCGAAUACCGGAGAAUGUUAUCACGGGAGACACACGGCGGGUGCUAACGUCCGUCGUGAAGAGGGAAACAACCCAGACCGCCAGCUAAGGUCCCAAAGUCAUGGUUAAGUGGGAAACGAUGUGGGAAGGCCCAGACAGCCAGGAUGUUGGCUUAGAAGCAGCCAUCAUUUAAAGAAAGCGUAAUAGCUCACUGGUCGAGUCGGCCUGCGCGGAAGAUGUAACGGGGCUAAACCAUGCACCGAAGCUGCGGCAGCGACACUGUGUGUUGUUGGGUAGGGGAGCGUUCUGUAAGCCUGUGAAGGUGGCCUGUGAGGGUUGCUGGAGGUAUCAGAAGUGCGAAUGCUGACAUAAGUAACGAUAAAGCGGGUGAAAAGCCCGCUCGCCGGAAGACCAAGGGUUCCUGUCCAACGUUAAUCGGGGCAGGGUGAGUCGACCCCUAAGGCGAGGCCGAAAGGCGUAGUCGAUGGGAAACGGGUUAAUAUUCCCGUACUUGGUGUUACUGCGAAGGGGGGACGGAGAAGGCUAUGUUGGCCGGGCGACGGUUGUCCCGGUUUAAGCGUGUAGGUGUGUGUUCCAGGUAAAUCCGGUUCACUUUAACACUGAGGCGUGAUGACGAGGCACUACGGUGCUGAAGCAACAAAUGCCCUGCUUCCAGGAAAAGCCUCUAAGCAUCAGGUAACACGAAAUCGUACCCCAAACCGACACAGGUGGUCAGGUAGAGAAUACCAAGGCGCUUGAGAGAACUCGGGUGAAGGAACUAGGCAAAAUGGUGCCGUAACUUCGGGAGAAGGCACGCUGACACGUAGGUGAAGUGAUUUACUCAUGGAGCUGAAGUCAGUCGAAGAUACCAGCUGGCUGCAACUGUUUAUUAAAAACACAGCACUGUGCAAACACGAAAGUGGACGUAUACGGUGUGACGCCUGCCCGGUGCCGGAAGGUUAAUUGAUGGGGUCAGCGCAAGCGAAGCUCCUGAUCGAAGCCCCGGUAAACGGCGGCCGUAACUAUAACGGUCCUAAGGUAGCGAAAUUCCUUGUCGGGUAAGUUCCGACCUGCACGAAUGGCGUAAUGAUGGCCAGGCUGUCUCCACCCGAGACUCAGUGAAAUUGAACUCGCUGUGAAGAUGCAGUGUACCCGCGGCAAGACGGAAAGACCCCGUGAACCUUUACUAUAGCUUGACACUGAACAUUGAGCCUUGAUGUGUAGGAUAGGUGGGAGGCUUUGAAGUGUGGACGCCAGUCUGCAUGGAGCCGACCUUGAAAUACCACCCUUUAAUGUUUGAUGUUCUAACGUGGACCCGUUA
rnacentral:rRNA from 1 species